rnacentral:lncRNA from 1 species
CUGUGGAUGUGUGUGUGGGAGGGAGAAGUAUAGGAAAAACACCCCAGGUGUAAGCAGUUUGGUCACUGAUUGAAAGAAAAAUGUGCAACAACGACUUCCUCUGUACCUCAGCAACGAACUUCACGCGAACACCGGAGCCCAAGUUUCUCGGUGAUGUGGACCAGCAGUCACUCCCUGUGGCAUCUGCACCGUCUUCAGUUGUCUCUUCUGUGUGGCCACUGGGAUUUUCUCUUUCUUUCUUGCACACUGAACCCUACAUUUUAACAGGAUUUAAAAGAAACUUUACAUGUAAGGCAAAGUACCAGGAACUUUAUUGAGGAAGGUUUUUGACAUUCUCUCUUGUCGUUGUUGCUGCCAUCUUGUCAGCAGUAUUGCCUCGCCCCCAUUAUUAGUUUUUAAAAGCCUUUUGCUAAGAGAGCCCUGCUACUGGAAUAGGAUGAGCAUGAAGCUUAUUAUGUUCAGCCAAUCACACUUAAGAGCAGAGGGGCGAAGGAGAAGGACUUAGUGAGGAGAGAAAGUCUGUGUACAUUGAAAAUACAAGUUUGUGCCGGCUCUCCGGGGCUUGUCAGUUUCUUAGCAUCUUCUCCAACAUACAGUCUAGACACAGGGGCCAAGUGAUUGCUUUAGGACAAGUUACCCAGUACGUGAAUUUCCCAGUACGUGAACUGCCUUUGUCCUCUUCUUUGUUUAUCAGCACCUCGACAGUUGGCUGGAUCAUGGAAAGACAUGGUGGAGAAUGCUUCACAAAGCUAAUCGCAAUCAUUAACAUCUCAGACGGAACAGUGAGUGGAAAGAUACAGGAACUGGCGGAAU